GCCAGACUCCUACGGGAGGCAGCAGUGGGGGAUAUUGCACAAUGGGGGAAACCCUGAUGCAGCGACGCCGCGUGAGUGAAGAAGUAUUUCGGUAUGUAAAGCUCUAUCAGCAGGGAAGAAAAAAGACGGUACCUGACUAAGAAGCCCCGGCUAACUACGUGCCAGCAGCCGCGGUAAUACGUAGGGGGCAAGCGUUAUCCGGAUUUACUGGGUGUAAAGGGAGCGUAGGCGGCAGUGCAAGUCAGAAGUGAAAGCCCGGGGCUCAACUCCGGGACUGCUUUUGAAACUGUACAGCUUGAUUGCAGGAGAGGCAAGUGGAAUUCCUAGUGUAGCGGUGAAAUGCGUAGAUAUUAGGAGGAACACCAGUGGCGAAGGCGGCUUGCUGGACUGUAAAUGACGCUGAGGCUCGAAAGCGUGGGGAGCAAACAGGAUUAGAUACCCCAGUA
rnacentral:rRNA from 1 species